UUCAAAGUACUUCUUAUCCAUCUGGAGGCUAAUCACAACAACGCCACUAGGUCACAGCAACGCCACUGAAGGAAUCUGAAGGGUUUUAUUCAUCUGAGUAUAGAAGCCAUCUUGGCCAUUGGGUUUUAAUUCUCAUAUAGUAUGAUUAAUACUGAAAUGGGUCAAUCAUUAUGGGAUUUCAUAAAUGCACUAUGAAUUUAGCUAUUUAAUUUGGAUAUUAUGGCUACAGAACGUGUGAUAACUGUUAUGUAAUUUAAUUUAGAUCAUGGCUAGAGAACGUGUGAUAGUUGUUACCUGAUUUAAUUGCUAAUUAAUUAUUUUAUCUGUUGCAGAAUAUCAUUAGACCACUGAGGAGCUUAUAUAAAUGGAUUCUAAACCAGUAAUAUGCAUAACCAUCACCAUUAGCACAAAUAGUAGAGGAAAGUUGCAGUUUCAGUUGGUCCAGGCGUGGCUAGCGGCUUAGUGGCAUAGCGGCAUGGUUGGUACGGAGACCUAGGUGAGCUGCAUUUAUCGAGACGACCCGCAGCCCGUAGAGUCUCCUUUAGAGUGUUGUGCUGUAUUUUUAUUUCUGUCCACCUUGUAUUCCGAACAGUUACUGUAUUUUAUUUUAUUCUUUGGUAACUGCU